rnacentral:rRNA from 1 species
AACGCUGGCGGCGUGCCUAACACAUGCAAGUCGAGCGCGAAAGGGACUUCGGUCCCUGGAGAGCGGCAGACGGGUGAGUAACACGUGGGUAACCUGUCCCUAGGUGGGGGAUAACCACUCGAAAGGGUGGCUAAUACCGCAUAAGACCACGGCCUUGCGGGGUUGAGGUCAAAGGCGCAAGUCGCCAAGGGAGGAGCCCGCGGCGGAUUAGCUUGUUGGUGAGGUAAUGGCUCACCAAGGCUCCGAUCCGUAGCUGGUCUGAGAGGACGAUCAGCCACACUGGGACUGAGACACGGCCCAGACUCCUACGGGAGGCAGCAGUGGGGAAUCUUGCGCAAUGGGCGAAAGCCUGACGCAGCGACGCCGCGUGAGGGAAGAAGGCCUUCGGGUUGUAAACCUCUUUCAGGAGGGACGAAGCCACUCGGGUUAAUAGCCCAGAGGGUGACGGUACCUCCAGAAGAAGCCCCGGCUAACUACGUGCCAGCCGCCGCUGUAAAAC